rnacentral:rRNA from 1 species
GGAGGUAGUGACAAGAAAUAACAAUACGGGGCUUAAAGUCUUGUAAUUGGAAUGAUGGGAAUUUAAACCUCUUCCAGAGUAUCAAUUGGAGGGCAAGUCUGGNGCCAGCAGCCGCGGUAAUUCCAGCUCCAAUAGCGUAUAUUAAAAUUGUUGCAGUUAAAAAGCUCGUAGUUGAAUUUCUGCUGCAUUGCUUGUGUCCCUCUGGGGUCUGNGCAUGUGGCUUUUUUCGGACGGAGUUUCUUU